rnacentral:rRNA from 1 species
GCCCCACGAAUAUACCCAAGAAAAAAACCAAACCAGAGAAAAACUGAAAGGACCCGCGGUCCGUGGUGUGCCUGCUUUUCCUUGCUAUGUGGUUUUGUUUGUUUGUCCCGGNUUUUAGGUGCUCGGUCAUUUCCGCGCGUUUGUGUGGUUGCUUUGCCGGGUUGCAUGCGCCGGUAAACGUUCUGCAGCGGUACAACCUUUGUACUUACGGGCCCGUCUUCGGUCGGGUAACCAGUGCGAAGGGAAGACUGUUUGUGGGGUGUUGUUGUUGAGCUUGGCUUACGGAUCGGGCGGCGGUUGAGUUGGUUGCGGGACGUGUUCGCAUGCGGAUGCCCUCGUGAUUGAUUUGGCUGUUUGUUUGUUGUCCACUUGCUCGUUUCGGUGUAAUAGUUGGUCAUCUAUCCGACCCGUCUUGAAACACGGACCAAGGAGUUUAUCACAUGUGCGAGUCAUUGAGCGUUAAAAACUCAAAGGCGGAAUGAAAGUGAAGGUAGGCUUGAUCUACUGAUAUGCGAUCCUUACUGCUGCGGCUUUGAUGCGCAGCAUAGCCCCAUUCUUAUUGCUUGUCAAUAGGUUGGAGGUAGAGCACAUUUGAUGAGACCCGAAAGAUGGUGAACUAUGCAUGAGCAGGAUGAAGCCAGAGGAAAA